rnacentral:rRNA from 1 species
GACGUAGGGCGCGAGCGUUGUCCGGAUUUAUUGGGCGUAAAGAGCUCGUAGGCGGCUUGUCGCGUCGAUCGUGAAAACUUGUGGCUCAACUACAAGCUGGCGGUCGAUACGGGCAGGCUGGAGUUCGGUGAGGGGAGACUGGAAUUCCUGGUGUAGCGGUGAAAUGCGCAGAUAUCAGGAGGAACACCAAUUGGCGAAGGCAGCUCGCUGGGACGUUACUGACGCUGAGGAGCGAAAGCGUGGGGAGCGAACAGG